CGCGUAGGCGGCGCGACAAGUCACUUGUGAAAUCUCCGGGCUUAACUCGGAACGGUCAAGUGAAACUGUCAUGCUAGAGUGCAGAAGGGGCAAUCGGAAUUCUUGGUGUAGCGGUGAAAUGCGUAGAUAUCAAGAGGAACACCUGAGGUGAAGACGGGUUGCUGGGCUGACACUGACGCUGAGGCGCGAAAGCCAGGGGAGCAAACG
rnacentral:rRNA from 1 species